GACGAACGCUGGCGGCGUGCUUAACACAUGCAAGUCGAACGGAGUGGCGAACGGGUGAGUAACACGUGGGUGACCUGCCCUGCACUUCGGGGUAAGACUGGGAGACUGGGUCUAAUACCGGAUAGUGUGGGAUGGGCCCGGGGCCUAUCAGCUUGUUGGUGGGGUAAUGGCCUAGCACGGCGGCGACGGGUAGCCGGCCUGGGAGGGGGGACGGCCUCAUUGGGCCUGCGGCACGGCGCAGACUCCUACGGGGGGCAACGGUGGCGAAUAUUGCGCAAUCGGCGGAAGUCUGAUGAAGCGACGCCGGGUGGGGGAUGACGGCCUUCGGGUUGUGAACUCCUUUCACCAUAGACGCGGUAGAUGGAGAAGAAGCACCGGCUAACUACGUGCCAGCAGCCGCGGUAAUUC
rnacentral:rRNA from 1 species